rnacentral:snRNA from 1 species
AUCUUAGUACAGGGGUGGUACACGUAGAAGUGAAGGUUUUUCCUGAUCUCGUGUUUUUGCCAAUUGAAAACUACCUAAAUGACCCUCUCUCAUGGUUUUCCUUGAGAGGAAUUUUUAAUAUUUAAAAUAAU